CCUACGGGAGGCAGCAGUGAGGAAUAUUGGACAAUGGGCGCAAGCCUGAUCCAGCCAUGCCGCGUGCAGGAUGACGGUCCUAUGGAUUGUAAACUGCUUUUAUACGAGAAGAAACACUACUUCGUGAAGUAGCUUGACGGUAUCGUAAGAAUAAGGAUCGGCUAACUCCGUGCCAGCAGCCGCGGUAAUACGGAGGAUCCAAGCGUUAUCCGGAAUCAUUGGGUUUAAAGGGUCCGUAGGCGGUUUAAUAAGUCAGUGGUGAAAGCCCAUCGCUCAACGGUGGAACGGCCAUUGAUACUGUUAGACUUGAAUUAUUAGGAAGUAACUAGAAUAUGUAGUGUAGCGGUGAAAUGCUUAGAGAUUACAUGGAAUACCAAUUGCGAAGGCAGGUUACUACUAAUAUAUUGACGCUGAUGGACGAAAGCGUGGGUAGCGAACAGGAUUAGAUACCCUGGUAGUCCACGCCGUAAACGAUGGAUACUAGCUGUUGGAAGCAAUUUCAGUGGCUAAGCGAAAGUGAUAAGUAUCCACCUGGGGAGUAACGUUCGCAAGAAUGAAACUUCAAAUUGAGUUGNGNGNGAGAGNGCGAGACGACGACGAGGAGGAGG
rnacentral:rRNA from 1 species